UACGUAGGGGGCUAGCGUUGUCCGGAUUUAUUGGGCGUAAAGAGCGUGUAGGCGGCCAGGUAGGUCUGCUGUGAAAACUCGAGGCUCAACCUCGAGACGUCGGUUGAAACCGUAAGGCUAGAGUCCGGAAGAGGAGAGUGGAAUUCCCGGUGUAGCGGUGAAAUGCGCAGAUAUCGGGAAGAACACCCGUGGCGAAGGCGGCUCUCUGGGACGGUACUGACGCUGAGACGCGAAAGCGUGGGGAGCGAACAGG
rnacentral:rRNA from 1 species